rnacentral:rRNA from 1 species
AUUGAACGCUGGCGGCAUGCUUUACACAUGCAAGUCGAACGGCAGCGCGGGGCAACCUGGCGGCGAGUGGCGAACGGGUGAGUAAUAUAUCGGAACGUACCCAGAAGUGGGGGAUAACGUAGCGAAGGUUACGCUAAUACCGCAUACGAUCUACGGAUGAAAGUGGGGGACCUUCGGGCCUCAUGCUUGUGGAGCGGCCGAUAUCUGAUUAGCUAGUUGGUGGGGUAAAGGCCCACCAAGGCGACGAUCAGUAGCUGGUCUGAGAGGACGACCAGCCACACUGGGACGGAGACACGGCCCAGACUCCUACGGGAGGCAGCAGGGGGGAAUUUUGGACAAUGGGCGCAAGCCUGAUCCAGCAAUGCCGCGUGAGUGAAGAAGGCCUUCGGGUUGUAAAGCUCUUUUGUCAGGGAAGAAACGGGACUGGAUAAUACCUGGUCCUAAUGACGGUACCUGAAGAAUAAGCACCGGCUAACUACGUGCCAGCAGCCGCGGUAA